AGUGGCGAACGGGUGAGUAACACGUGGGCAACCUGCCCUCAGCUCUGGGAUAACUCCAAGAAAUUGGGGCUAAUACCGGAUAUGACUGCUGACCGCAUGGUCUGGUGGUGGAAAGAUUUAUCGGCUGGGGAUGGGCCCGCGGCCUAUCAGCUUGUUGGUGGGGUAGUGGCCUACCAAGGCGACGACGGGUAGCCGGCCUGAGAGGGUGACCGGCCACACUGGGACUGAGACACGGCCCAGACUCCUACGGGAGGCAGCAGUGGGGAAUAUUGCGCAAUGGGCGGAAGCCUGACGCAGCGACGCCGCGUGGGGGAUGACGGCCUUCGGGUUGUAAACCUCUUUCAGCAGGGACGAAGCGGAAGUGACGGUACCUGCAGAAGAAGCACCGGCCAACUACGUGCCAGCAGCCGCGGUAAUACGUAGGGUGCAAGCGUUGUCCGGAAUUAUUGGGCGUAAAGAGCUCGUAGGCGGUUUGUUGCGUCGGCUGUGAAAUCCCGAGGCUCAACCUCGGGUCUGCAGUCGAUACGAGCAAACUAGAGUGUUGCAGGGGAGACUGGAAUUCCUGGUGUAGCGGUGAAAUGCGCAGAUAUCAGGAGGAACACCGGUGGCGAAGGCGGGUCUCUGGGCAACAACUGACGCUG
rnacentral:rRNA from 1 species